UACGUAGGGUGCAAGCGUUGUCCGGAAUUAUUGGGCGUAAAGAGCUCGUAGGCGGUCAGUCGCGUCUGCUGUGAAAACUCGGGGCUUAACCCCGGGCCUGCAGUGGGUACGGGCUGACUAGAGUGCGGUAGGGGAGACUGGAAUUCCUGGUGUAGCGGUGAAAUGCGCAGAUAUCAGGAGGAACACCGGUGGCGAAGGCGGGUCUCUGGACAGUUCCUGACGCUGAGGCACGAAGGCUAGGGGAGCAAACGGG
rnacentral:rRNA from 1 species